rnacentral:rRNA from 1 species
AAUGUUUUCAUUGAUCAGAACGAAAGUCAGAGGUUCGAAGGCGAUCAGAUACCGCCCUAGUUCUGACCAUAAACGAUGCCAACCAGCGAUCCGCGUGAGUUACUCAAAUGACUCGGCGGGCAGCUUCCGGGAAACCAAAGUAUUUGGGUUCCGGGGGAAGUAUGGUUGCAAAGCUGAAACUUAAAGGAAUUGACGGAAGGGCACCACCAGGAGUGGAGCCUGCGGCUUAAUUUGACUCAACACGGGAAAACUUACCCGGCCCGGACACUGGGAGGAUUGACAGAUUGAGAGCUCUUUCUUGAUUCGGUGGAUGGUGGUGCAUGGCCGUUCUUAGUUGGUGGAGCGAUUUGUCUGGUUAAUUCCGAUAACGAACGAGACUCUAGCCUAUUAAAUAGGUGCGGGGUUCCCAGCACCUUACAACCUUCUUAGAGGGACAAGCGGCUCCUAGCCGCACGAAACAGAGCAAUAACAGGUCUGUGAUGCCCUUAGAUGUCCGGGGCCGCACGCGCGCUACACUGAAGGAAGCAGCGUGUCUUUAUCCCUGUCUGAAAAGACUGGGUAACCCGUGGAACUUCUUUCGUGAUUGGGAUAGGGGCUUGCAAUUGUUCCCCUUGAACGAGGAAUUCCCAGUAAGCGCGAGUCAUAAGCUCGCGUUGAUUACGUCCCUGCCCUUUGUACACACCGCCCGUCGCUACUACCGAUUGAAUGAUUUAGUGAGGUCUUCGGACCGAUGUCCGGCGCGGCCUUUCGGUUGCGCCGGUCUUUAACAAGUAAUAACCGACAUGAUCCCUAUAACUAAUAAGACCGCUCACCAAGUCAG